ACAUUUGGUGUCUUGAAAGGCUAUCCAACUGAUUUUACAAAUCUGUGUAUAGUAAUCAGUCUAUUUGUUUUUAAUGUCUUGUCUGUUAUGAUUUGGGUAGUAAAUGCCUCUCACGAGUUAUGUGCUAAAAAAGGUAUUUGCCACGAGCCUGUGCUGAUAGUGGAAGGUAGUAAUACCUUUAGAAUUUGAGCCUAGGGGAAGAAAGGUUAUGGGGUGUAGAUAUUGAGACUCCUGUUCCUUCUUUUUUUUCUCUACUUCCCACUCCGCCCCAUGCUCUCUGCCAUGAUGUUCUGCUUUCUACAGCCCAAAGCAAGAGGCGUGUGACCAGGGAUUGAACCCCCUGCAACUGAAACCAACUAAAGCUUCCAUUCUUAUCUCUGACACAAAUCCGACGAACAUCAGUACAGUCCUAUGUGAUAACAUCAUCUGGAAUACUGAGAAUCAUCUACUCCUUCCGGUCCACUCACCACCACCUCUUUCGGGUCGCUCAUCAUCUCCUACUUCCGGUCAGUUCACCAUCUCCACUUCCGGCCCUCUCAGCAUCCCCUACUUCCGGUCCGCUUACCAUCUCCUCCUCCUGGUCAGCUCUUGCCUUUUUCCCUUGCAGAGCUGAUGAGGGCAGUGGACAUGUUGGCAGAAAAAUGAAGGAGGGUGUCUGCAUCCUGAUCCUUUCUCUAGAGAGAUGGCUUCUGAAAUUUCACUCAGAUCCCACAGGGAGCAACCAGAAGCAGGGAGCCUGGUGGCCUUCGUGAGGCUACUCUUGCAUGGUGCCACCACCUUCCAGACUCUGAAGUCAUCCUGGCUCCCAGGCACACACUUCCCACCUUCAUAGCUGAACUUUCUUUCUCUCACUAUGUGGAUCAGGCUAGCCAUCUCAGCAUCCCCGCCCUUGUUGGGUCUUUACCUAAAGGACUAAGGCAGAGGAUUAAUGGAGUCCUCAACACCAAGUGUCCUGCCACGGAGACUGGCUUGGAAAGUAGUUACCAUGCUAGCACCAGGUUCUCUUGAUAAGGUAUUAAUAGCAAUUAUGACUAUAAUUAAAGGCGUCUUCUCUGCUUAUUCUUAAAUGGAUUGCUGGGCAUGAUGGCACAUGCCAGAUAAUCCCGGCAUUCGGGAGGCAGAAGUAGCAGGGAGGUUCAAAGUUAUCCUUAGCUGCACAGUGAGUCUGAAGCCAGCCUAGAUCUCAAAACCCCAAAAUACACAAAUCAAAGAAAGUUGCUAAUAGAUCAUCUUGAGAUACAUCUGGGAUAGCUACUUGUCUAAGCCUGUCCAAUCAGCUCCUCUUUAUCACAACCACCCUAGGAAAGAUAUCCAGAGAAAUUCAGUAAUUUCCUCAAGGCGACACAGCUAGUAAGUAGUGGAGUGAGGAUUCAAACCCAGGAAGUGCGACUCGGUAAUUGCGCUUAAUCACAGUGAUGUCUGGACUUCAGCUAAAGAAGGAUUUCUGCAGAAAAGUAACUAAGUCCGUCAAAGAACACAUGCCUAAGUGGUUGAAAGGAAAGAAAUCAUUGCGCGAGCAUCCGACAGGAUGCAAAUUGUGGCUAUAUAUUCAAGGCGUUGACAAGAAGGAAUGGGGCCUGAAGAGACGAUCCCACUCAGCAGUUAAAAGUGCUAAGGGUUUUGUAGAGGACCUGAGUUUGAUUCCCAGACCUCGUUUCGGGCUGCUUAUACCUGCUUGCAUCUCUAACUCUAGGGGGACCUGAUUCACCUCAGCUUCCAUGGGUACCUGCGUUCAUAUGCACAUAUCUAACCCAGAUGUACACACACAUAUACAAAGUUAAAAAUAAAACUUGGAAAAUGGACCGAAAGCCAACUGUUCUUGAGCAUUUGAUGUAUGGCAGGUGUUCCUUUUUUUUUUUUUUUAAUUGUCUUUUGGAGAUGUGCCCAAGGUUGGCUUCGAACUCUUUACAUAGCCAGCAUGACCCUGAAGGUCCGAUCUUCCUGGCCCUGCCUCUUGAGUACUGGGCUUAUAGAUAAGCAAGUGCCACCACACCAGUUUGUGAGGUGUCGGGGACUGAAUCCUGUGAUUGGUGUUUGCUCACAGUGCGCUGACUAAGCCUUGGCCCCAGCCCCCGAGACAGGUAUCCCAAGCACAUUCUAGAUACUGCCUGCUCACCAAUUCC